AGAUGUCACACAGUUAUAAAAUGGGAAACUUGAAGAAUAAGUUAUAGCUCCAGAAAACCGCCACCAGCAGCAGAUGUCACAGUUAUAAAAUGGGAAACUUGAAGAAUAAGCUCCAGAAGUCAGCAGCAGCAGACAUCACACAGCCAUAAUGCGAGAAGCUUGAAGAAUAAUGUGUUAUGGCUCCGAUAGUCUUCCAGCAGCAGCAAAUGUUACACAGUCCUAUAGAGGCAAACUUGAAGUAUGAGGUAAUAGUGUUUUGCAUAGAAUGGCAAACUUGACCUUUCACUUAAAAUGGAGGUACAUUUGCACUGAGUUUAAUGUUAUGACACGUGAAUGGAUUACCAGUGAUGUAUAUGUAAAUACUGGAAUUUGUAACUUAGAACUUAAUUUCAGUAUCGGCUUUGAAAUUUGGUCACUGGAUACAACUAUAUUAUCUUUCAUGUUGAUAGCAGCAAUCAUCAGAUUGCAAUCCAGUUUAGUACCUGUGAGGCAUGAGAUGUCAAAAAUACGUGUGGGUUAUUGGUAGCCUGUGUCGAGGCAUGUGGCACCUCAAAGUUUGUAAGUACAGUAGCAUUUUGUUUUCUGCUUUACUUAAAAAUUGUUAGCUGUAGCACCCAUUCUGACAUUUAAUUAUUUUGAAUUUCAAGUUUCUUAAAAUAAUACUGACAUCAGUUUCAUAUGUGUUAACACUAAUCCAUAUAUUAUUGCUAAUAUAUGCUAUUUUCCUCAGAUGUUAACUGAAAUUGUUUUAUUAUAAUGAUAACAACACUUCAGCCUUUGUAGACUUGCAGUAUAGGUUACCUGCUGAGAAAUAUUUACUGGAAGAAGUGGUUUCUUUGAAUAGGACUGAAAGGAAUAUCACUGAAAAUGCCAAAUGUGAAUUGGUGAAACCUCUUGUGCUCAAUACUAAAUUUCAUUUGCAAAACACAGAAGUUUUCCUAUCUUUGUGGUGGAACACAACAAAUUCUCAUAAUUUUGCUAGUUUGUAUUCUAGAAAGGGUGCCAGAAAUGGAAGAGUAUAAUUUUUAUUAAAUCGGGCAUUAAAUGUAAGUAGGUUGGAGUACAGAAAGGGUGAAACUGGCCUUUCCCACUGUAGCCUGAUGUGCUCCAACAUGCAUUUGUACUGAUGUGCAGGUGGUUAUAACACUAGUAUCAAACUGCAUGGUACCCACUUACUAAUGUGACCUACCCUUGCAUGAUCUGCUGCAGACAGCAAGAUAUCCACUACUG